GGGGCCAUGUGCCCCAUGCAGAGCAGAGGCAGAUGUGUGCUCGUGUUAAUCUAACCUUCACCUGCAUCUUCGUCAGGAACGGGUAGGAAGAAACAGACACUGAGUCACAGAUCCUAUGGCUCAGACUCAAGGCUCAGAUUUGUGGAAACUCAGCUCCGGGCAGUCUUGAGACCCAUCACCUGCCAGGACAGAUGACUGCCCUUCAGCGCCCUCACCGUGGAGAAGUCCAGAGAGGAUUGGGAGCAGCUGGUCAUAUCCACAGUCAAGAACAGAGAGAGAGUGAACAUGGCUGCCCGUGCAGGACCCCGGACUUAGGGGAUGGUACCGCCCACGGAUUUCUCUGUGUCCUGGAACUCAUGCUGUAGACCAGAGUGGUCACGAACUCGGAAACCUGCCUACCCCUGCCUCCUGAGUGCUGAGAUUAAAGGCAUGCGCCACCACCUCCAUAACAAUCAAAAUUUAACCUCUA
rnacentral:lncRNA from 1 species